UUCAAUAUCCGUAUCAUGGGAAAAUAGUUUUUCUACCAGGAAUGUACUCUCAUUAUAGGACAGCAUAGUGGAGAGCAGUGUUGCUGUAGACAUCCACGUUCCAGCAGAACGAUGCCACAAAUCUCUUCCUGGCAAUGUACAGCCUCCUCAAAGGCAUCCCAUUUUGUUUAUCACCAAUGUCAAUGUGGCAUUUUCAGUUCACCAGGAGAGUCCCCACUUCCACAUGGCCAUUGGCACAGGCCAAACGUACAGCAGCCCUGUCCAUCCACAGCUGAAGGGAUAGAGAAACUGCCAUACAGAUACACACAGAGUAUGCUUCAGCCAUAAAGCUUUGGGAAAUCCUGUCAUUCGCAGCCACAUGGAGAAACCCAGAGGACAUUAGGUCCAAGAAAAUGAGCCUGGUGGAGCAAGUCCCACACUGCGUGACCUCAGGCAUGUGGACUCCAAAAAGCUUUAUCUCCUGCCCAUCCACAGAUGAAGGGAUCAAGAAACUCUGAUAUAUAUACACAAAGGAAUGUUCUUUGGCCAUCAAGAUAAUUAAAGGAUGUCAUUUGGAGGAACAUAGAUGGCCCGCCGAGGCUGCGGCUGCCUCAUCCUGCACUGUGGAUGGAAGCCGCUGAUCUGACAGGAAGUGGAGCUCAGGUGGUAAUGCUCGCUCUUGCUGUGCUGCCAGGUUCUUAACAGGCCAGGGAUGAUACUGGUCCAGGGGUGGGGGAGCCCUGCUCCAGAUGACAGCCAGAGUAGUCUUAAAUUCCUCCUUUGUAUAGCCUUGGAAAACAGAUCAGCGAGGUAGCAGUGAAAGACAUCAUGAUACCAAAUAGAAACAAGGACUUGGAAGACACAUUGGACCUCUUAAUUUCCAGGCCACUUGAUAGUAGAUACAGUUCCUUACAAAAGAACAUGGCUUCAUCUUGGGAAAAGAGGGUGCUGGAGGUGAGGGAAGAUGAAUUAGCCACCAAGACAGUUCACCUUGCAAUUCAAUCAUUUAGGUCUAACUGGAGAAUGAUUGCUGCCAUGUUCCAGAACAAGAAUGAAAGCCUCGUUUCACAAUGAAAAGGUGAAUUUAUAUCUUCUGUGUUAGAUUCUAGGAAAAAAGGAAGUAAAAGAGAUACAGAACAGUCCUUUCAUCCCUCCCCAUCUGCACUUUAUUCUUCCUAACUACAAAUCCCAUGCUGAAAUUCUACUGUACUUGAUAAGCAUACAAUCAUAUUCAGGGCUCUGCCAGGACAAUAUUCUUUUUUUUUUUUUUUUCCUUGAGGUGGAGUUUCACUCUGUCACCCAGGCUGGAGUACAGUGGCGUGUUCUUGGCUCACUGCAACCUCCGCCUCCUGGGUUGAAGUGAGUCUCCUGCCUCAGCCUCCUGAGUAGGU
rnacentral:lncRNA from 10 species